rnacentral:lncRNA from 1 species
ACUUCAAGGUAUCAUCAGUGAGCAAAGUUCUUAUAAAGCUUGUCACCACUAAUUCAAAACAUUGAAUAUAUGAUGUAAUGUCUUCAUCCAUCUCUUAUCUAAGGGAUAAUAAAGUAGUUAAGGCUGUAUUUUAUCCUACUUCAUGCUAAAAUUGUUUUAUUGAGGUACAUUGGAUCAUAUCCCUAUUUAAGAAGGUAUUGGAAGAAUGGUUGCAAUAUCACUCAUAUGCCCCCUCUUUUUAUGUAGUUGGAAAUCAUAUUAAAUAAUAAAAGCCGUCUAU